UACGUAGGGCGCAAGCGUUAUCCGGAAUUAUUGGGCGUAAAGAGCUCGUAGGCGGUUUGUCGCGUCUGCCGUGAAAGUCCGGGGCUCAACUCCGGAUCUGCGGUGGGUACGGGCAGACUAGAGUGAUGUAGGGGAGACUGGAAUUCCUGGUGUAGCGGUGAAAUGCGCAGAUAUCAGGAGGAACACCGGUGGCGAAGGCGGGUCUCUGGGCCGAUACUGACGCUGAGGCGCGAAAGCGUGGGGAGCAAACAGG
rnacentral:rRNA from 1 species